rnacentral:rRNA from 1 species
UAGGGAAUAUUGGUCAAUGGAGGCAACUCUGAACCAGCCAUGCCGCGUGUAGGAAGAAGGCGUUCUGCGUUGUAAACUACUUUUGAUUGGGAACAAAUGACUCUUGCGAGAGUAGCUGAGUGUACCAAUAGAAUAAGCCACGGCUAACUACGUGCCAGCAGCCGCGGUAAUACGUAGGUGGCAAGCGUUGUCCGGAUUUAUUGGGUUUAAAGGGUGCGUAGGCGGCUUGAUAAGUCAGUGGUGAAAGCCGAUCGCUUAACGAUCGAACUGCCAUUGAUACUGUUGGGCUUGAGUAUAGAUGAGGUAGGCGGAAUUGACAGUGUAGCGGUGAAAUGCAUAGAUAUUGUCAAGAACACCAAUUGCGAAGGCAGCUUACUAAGUUAUAACUGACGCUGAGGCACGAAAGUGCGGGGAUCAAACA